rnacentral:misc_RNA from 1 species
AAGUCGUAACAAGGUUUCCGUAGGUGAACCUGCGGAAGGAUCAUUACCCGAGGGGAGGGGGCUCCGCGCCCCCCGGGGGGUUUCGCCCCCCAACUCUUCACCCCACUGUUUACCUACCUUUGUUGCUUUUGGCGGGGCCCCUGGGGGCACGCCCCCACGCUGGCUUUUCGGGCCCUGUGAGCGCCCCGUCAAAGGCCCAUUAAAUUCCUUUAAUCAGUGUUGUCCGAGCAAAAAACACAAUAGUAAAA